UAACAUACUAAUUCUUUAAAUAUUUAUUUAAAAUUGUGAACUUCGUUCGAUAUAGAAAAAUUAUUCAGUUUUAAAGUAUCUGAAUAAAUAUAUCUAUGUCGAAUAAUAAACACGUGAUUUGAUUCAAUAUAUUUUUUGUUACUUUCAUGCAUUCAAAAGAACGGUGUAGAAUCAUGUUAUUACAAAAACGAUCUGUAUUUUUCCCCGUUCAGUUUAUCUCCAUCGUUUGAUUCAACUGCUUGAAUCUAUUCAUUUUUCAAGCGCUUUACUUAGCGAGACAAUAGUCCGAAAUCGUUUUAUCGUUUUACGGAAGAAACUCGCGGAGAGAACGAACGAAAACUAGACGGAAUACUAGGUUCUUUUCUCUAUGGAAUUGUAAGUUUAAUACGUCGUGGUUUUACUACUAAUGUCAUUACGAAAGUAAAUUCGAUAUUGAUUUCAAUACGUUGCUUCUGAAAAAAAUUCUUUCUCGAUUUUUAUUGUCUUUGCCUUCUAUCAUUAUUUAAACAAGAUAUUGUUUGAUAAUAACAGUAUGAUCAUUGAAACAACAAAUAUUUCUUUUAUCUUUGAACAUUUCGGUAACUCGAUAGAAUAAUUGAUAGAAAUGUUACAAAGAUACGAUCGUUGAUAUUUAAUAUUUUCUUUUCCUUUCAACAAAGAAGCAACAAGAAAUAACUAUAAGAAAGAAAAAAAGAAAGAAAGAAAGAAAGAAGGAAGGAAAAAAAGAGAAUUUUCUUGAAUUCCGUCGAAUAAUUUCCCUGAAGAAAGAAGGUGCAAGGAGAAAUAAAUGAGACAUAUCGUAUUUUCUUUCUUAAAAUGUGCAUUGGCGUGUUUCGUUACACAUUUACGUAAUUACCCUCGUUCUGUCUGACAAAGAUUUGGUGUAUCGAGAUUAUCGGUUGAUUCUUAUCUUUAAACAAUAAUCUUUGCUAGUCGUAGUAACAGUAGGCAAUAAUAGAAAAGGAAGAAGAAGAAAUCGUAGGUGAUAUUCAUUGGUAAAAUUUUGAAUCUUUCAUAUUUUCUACCGAGAGAAUACGCUAUAUAAUUUAAAUUUCUCUAUGAUCUAGCCUUACUCAGUAAGCCAUUGUAAGGCGCGGAAUUCAAAUGUUGAGUCGCUACUGACUCUGAAUUGAGAAUAUUUCUUUAAGUGAGAAUAACAUUUUCUUUCCUUAUUUUUUUUUUCUUUCUUUCUUUCAUUCUAUCUUCCUUUUUUCUUUCGUUAUGAAUUUUUUCACGUUGAGAUGGAUUCUUCGGAUAGGGUUAUUGAACGAGAAAGAGUCAUAAGAAGAGGUUUGAACUCUAGGAAAUGUGUCUCAUGGAUAAUUCAUCCUCUCAUUUCACGAUUCUCUAUAGCCAGAAAAAGGCCUUUACCGAGUAACAAGCAAGGGCCUCGAAAAAAAGGAAAAGCUUUUUCUCAUCCUGCUAUAUACAUACGUUACUCUACGAUAUCUGGGCCUGUUAUCUGUUAGUGUAGCUUUUUAAACUCGCCGAUGAAGUCGUUUCAAUCUUCUCUAUAGUUUGCUCUCAUAAUCUGGAGGAAAGAAUCUCCUUUAGAUUUUCAACUUUAUUGUAUACUUUUAUUUUUAUUUUAAGGAUCUCUUCUUCGAUAAGCUCGAAGAAAAAAAGAGCAAGUUUUUCGAAUUCGAAAAGAACUUCGGUAGUUCUAAAUUUAAUUCUCGUUAAUGAACAAACGAGAACGUUUCCGUUAGAAAUUUAAAUUCGAUUCGUUAAAUCUGAGUUCGUAGUUCUUUCCGAAUUAUCAAAGUUCAUAUUUUAAGUUCACUGCAAAUAUCAAGGUUAUAUAUCCCGUAGCAAUCAUAAAUUUGAUGCUGAAAUCAAUACAGUGAAUCGAUGAGAUAUUUAAGAGAUUGUUUAGUCUUUCUGGCAUCGUAAAGAAAUGAAGAAAAGAUCUCUAGUUCAUUGAGAUAUCGUAGAAUUAAUGUUGUCGAGGAAUAAUGAACUUUCUCGCUUAUACUCUUUCUCUUUCUUUCUCUCUGACAUACAGUUUAGUGAGUGAUCGCAGCGUAUUGGUAUUUGCGGAGGUAUCUGGCAAGUGGCAAAAAGGGGGAGGAUGAACAACUUCGAGCUAUUUGUGACGAUGUUCGAUAUCGAUCGCUAUUUCUCAUGACAGCCAGAAAGCAAUAGAGGGAGAGGAAGAGAGAGGGGGGAGAGAGAUUUUCCAAUGGCAGGACUGUAAUUUUCCAUAUGAACUUUAUCAAGUUCUUUGUUAUACAUUUAGACACGCACGAGUUGAAAAGCACGUUUAGUUAUACUUUUUUCACAAUUACGAGAAUUUCCAGUGUUAAAAUUUCAAUGGAAUCCCUUCGUUAUGUAACGGUCAACCUACAUACCUUCUUGUACAUGGAAACGUUAUGGGAAUGUCAGUAAAACAUAAGUAUAGGGUUCAUGCUUUUUGCCUCACGUUUUUUAUUCCAUUGGAAAGUUUCGUUUUAAUUCGAAUUGCUUCGUAAAUUUAAAAAAUAUUUCUUCUUUGAUAGAUGUCCAUUACUUUUUUAAUCUCCAAGAUACUUUCACGUGUUUCUAUUAGAAAAUAUUGCUUUUCGUAAUAGUUUUCAUUCAAGUGUAAUAGUAAUUUUAAAAAGAUCACUACUCUCUUUCUUUCUCUUGAUGUUAGAUAUAAAGGAAAUUUAUUUUUCACAUAUCGAGAUAGACUCGUCUGUGUUGUUGCUCGAAGAACUUUAGAAGAAUCUUUCGGCGUUAUUUAUGGAACUUAACGUCCAUGAAAAGUUUCUUGGAUUUAUUUAUUCCCUCUCUCCUUCUCGACAUCGUUUUCAUUCGUUUGAUACAUUCCACUAGCCCAUCUUAUUCGGUUCUCUUGGGAAAGAUUUUCGAAAGGAAACGUUUUUAUCACUGCUAAUCGAAUGUUUUAUGAGCCAAGAAAGUUUUAUAUCUUUUACUAUCUAUCUUUUACUAUCUCGAAAGAUUUUCGAAAUUUUUAUAUCAAGAAUGAUUCGGGUUCAAUAAGCAGAAAAAAAAAUUAGCUUGACGAAUAGAAUAAAUAUUUUGAAAGAUUAAAAUUACUCGAUUCUCUUGUUCUUAUUUUCUAUUUGUCGUGAUUUAUCGUUUAAUUCUCGAGUAAACAUCAUUUCUAUGUUGUAUCGGUAUAGACGGGACACGUAAGAGCUCGAUACCGAAUGUUUUAUUUUCUGAUCAGUUAUUUUACCAUUUUCUAUAGUGGCGUAUAUAUUUUAUAUGUACAUGUUUGGAUAACACUGCGUAUAUAAUGAAAUCAUGGAUUCAGCAAUUUUUGACACGGUUUUGUCAGUAGAAAGUGCAUAUGUUGAUUUCUGUAAACAACGAAUAGGUUGCCUACGAAUGGAACAUAUUCGUAAUAACGGAUUCAAACUAUUCAUUUGUUUUAUCAUAUAACAUUAAUCCUGACCAGUCGAUGUUUAAUUGUUCGAGCAAAUAUAAGAAAGUUGUAAGGAGAGAGUGGGCUACGAUAAAAAAUAGAACCGUGUGAACAUAACAAUCGGUUGAUACCAACUCGGUAAAAUUACCGAUACGGUCGAAACGCAUGUCGCGUGAAUUUACAAUGAAGCAUUAUUCAUCGUACAUCAUAUACAUUCGACAAACCGAAAACAAAUUAUUCUCAUUCGUGUGAAACAACGUAUGAAGCAACGUAUAAAAUUAUUUUAUUAAUUUAUUUUAUUAUUACAUUUUGCACUCGAGAGGUGACUCUCACUCACCACAUGAUUUAAUGCCGCAACUCGAGAGGUGACUCUCGCUCACCAUAUGUUCAGCGAUCAACAUUACACCAGCUUUAUCUUGAGUGAACAAUUAUUUAAACUGAAAUGCCACUUGACAGGAACAAUCUUAACGAAUAGGAAGCAUUUGCCAAAUCAAAAAAAAAAACAAAAUUCCGCAAGAAAUCGACAGUAGCAUACCGCAAAAGAAAUACCUUAGUUUUAGCAUGGAAGGACCAAGAGGAUCGUCACGUGCUUGACCAAUUGGAAUAAUGCAGGAAUGAGUAUGGAAAAUCCUUGAAAUGGUGGCGUAAAUUUUUUUUUGGGGUCUGGAAAUUUGUGCAAUAAAUUCAUAUAUUCUUUAUAAAAUCAUUGAACAGCAGAGAAGAUAACAGCCGCUUAAUCAAUUGCGGUAUGUAAAAACCUUAAUUCAUCAACUGAUUGGAGAUUUUCACCAAAUACGUGAUCGAACUUCAACUUCAACCUCCGAUUCCGAAAAGAUCCGCCUGAAUGGAAAGCUACAUAACAUUCUAACAGGAGUUAAGAAAAAUUGUAAAGUCUGCUCUCAAAGAAAUAAAUUCGGCAAAAGACAUCAAAUAUAUUAUUGUGAUACUUGUCCCGAAAAGUCGGGCAUCCAUCUCGGCAAUUGUUAUAUAAAAUAUCAUACAAAGCAAAAUUAAAAAGACUAAUGUUUAAGAAAUUAUCUUCGUAAAGAUGUAAAGAUACAUAACAUGUUAAAAUAUAAAAGUUUUAUAGGAUAA